rnacentral:rRNA from 1 species
GACGAACGCUGGCUGCGUGCUUAACACAUGCAAGUCGAACGGCAAGGUCCUGCUUUUGUGGGGUGCUCGAGUGGCGACCGGGUGCGUAACACUUGAGUAACUUGCCCUUGCCUUUGGGCUAACUUCAGGCCGCUGGGGCUAAUACCGGUUAGGAGCUCCUUCUGUUUGGUGGGGGUUGGAAAGUUUCGGCGGUUGGGGAUGGACUUGCGGCUUAGCAGCUUGUUGGUGGGGUAGUGGAUUACCAAGGCUUUGGAGGUUAGCGGGCCUGAGGGGGUGACCGGCAAAAUGGGGACAGAGAUACGGCAGGGAGUACUACGGGAGGCAGGAGUAGGGAAGAUUGCACAAUGGACGGAAGCAUGAUGCAGCAACGCCGCGUGAUGGAUUACGGACUUCGGGUUGUAAACCGCUUUCGCCUGUGACGAAGCGUGAGUGAAGGUAAUGGGUAAAGAAGCACCGGCUAACUACGUG